AUCAUAGUAUAGUGGUCAUUAUAAAUCGUUGUGGUGUUUCAAGCACUGCGAACUACAAUCCCGAUUAGACCCAAGUUCGAUUCUUGGUGAUGGCA
rnacentral:tRNA from 1 species